GUCCAGGUGUCCCUGAACACCCCCGGACCACAAGAGGGAUCUCUUGGGGACUCAGAAGGGACGGAAGCUAAGGAAGGGGACGCCUGCGCGGGGGGCGGGGGAGCCCCGGGUAGCAGAUUCCGAUCUGCAGCCUGCACCAGAGCCUCCCUCACCGCCUCCUGCCCGGCCCUGCGCGCGCACCGCGCUCCCACGCACGCCACCCUUGCAAACGCACACACGCGCGCGCACACACCCGGACACACACCCACACACCGCACACAGCUCCAAGCCGCUCUGCUCGCCAGAUCUCAGGGCACUCGCUCCGCAGGGGAGCCCCUCCCAGCGCCCGGCGCCCGGCACUGCCUGGGGUCGAACAGCGCGGCUCUCGGGCCCGACAAGAGUGGGGACGGGAGCGGGACCGGGGAGCGGGGCGGUCGUUGUGGGGGGGGGAGCUGCGCGCCCCGCGCCUCCUUCAGCUGGCUCUCCCCCCACCCCCUCCGCCGGCGUCCGCAGCUCGCGUGCGGAGGGGUCACCCGCUGUGCGCGUGCGCGCCGACCGGGCACGGCCGUGGGCAGCUCGGGGAGCCCACGCGGCCCCGACACCCGCGGGCGACGCGCUGGCUCCUCCGGCAUCCGCCUGCAGGGGGCGCGGCGCUCGCGGGCCCGCGGCCUCGGAUGCAGAGGAGGAGCUGAGAGGCAGGCGCGUAAGCGGGUUCCGCCGCGCGUCUCCCGAAGGUCGCUCGGAACCUGGAGGCUGGUGAGCGCCUGCAGGACGGGGACGGCGUUUUUCCACUUGUCACCAGCUAGUCCGCUCUCGGGUCCCGCAGCCGGAGGGGGCUGGGAGCCGGCCGGGAGAGGUCACCUCCCGGCCGGUGGGCUUUUCCUGCCUGCUUGGAGCUCGGGGAGGGGAGGGGAGCUUUUCUUCUCUGGCGCACGGCCGCGCUGGACUUCGGAAAGUUUCCUACCACCUGGGGACGGAGGAGGACGAAGUGCGAGCCUGCUUCCAGGCUGGGACGAACCGAAAAUACAGAAGUGUCGCUGGCCAGCCGCACUCCGGCGUCCCCAGCAAUCACCCCCUUCCCUGGCCGAGCGGCCCCAGGGAGACCUGGGAGUGCGGCCGCCCGCCUGGUGGGCCCUGCGCCACCACGAACCGGGACAGCCCGCCCUGCAGCUUCGCUAG
rnacentral:lncRNA from 1 species